GACGAACGCUGGCGGCGUGCUUAACACAUGCAAGUCGAACGGAAAGGCCCUGCGUUUGUUGGUUGCUCGAGUGGCGAACGGGUGAGUAACACGUGAGUAACCUGCCCUUGACUUUGGGAGAACUUCAGGAAACUGGGGCGAAUACCGGAUAGGAUCUCCUGCUGCAUGGUGGGGGUUGGAAAGUUUCGGCGGUUGGGGAUGGACUCGCGGCUUAUCAGCUUGUUUGGGGGGUAGUGGCUUACCAAGGCUUUGACGGGUAGCCGGCCUGAGAGGGUGACCGGCCACCUUGGGACUGAGAGACGGCCCAGACUCCUACGGGAGGCAGCAGUGGGGAAUAUUGCACAAUGGGCGGAAGCCUGAUGCAGCAACGCCGCGUGCGGGAUGACGGCCUUCGGGUUGUAAACCGCUUUCGCCUGUGACGAAGCGUGAGUGACGGUAAUGGGUAAAGAAGCACCGGCUAACUACGUG
rnacentral:rRNA from 1 species